UCGUACCCAUAACCGCAUCAGGUCUCCUAGGUUAGCAGCCUCYGGUCCAYAGAACAAUGUAGAUAAGGGAAGUCGGCAAAUUGGAUC
rnacentral:rRNA from 1 species